UUCCAGUCCAGACUUCCUUGGUGAUG
rnacentral:misc_RNA from 1 species